UACGGAGGAUGCGAGCGUUAUCCGGAUUUAUUGGGUUUAAAGGGUGCGUAGGCGGACUGUCAAGUCAGCGGUAAAAUUGAGAGGCUCAACCUCUUCCCGCCGUUGAAACUGGUGGUCUUGAGUGGAUGAGAAGUACGCGGAAUGCGUGGUGUAGCGGUGAAAUGCUUAGAGAUCAUACAGAACACCGAUUGCGAAGGCAGCUUACCAAACUAUAUCUGACGUUGAGGCACGAAAGCGUGGGUAGCAAAUAGG
rnacentral:rRNA from 1 species